UAAAUCGAGAUAAUGGUGACCUUAUUUGGUCUACUGUAAGUCUGUCUUCAUUGUGUUCUUUUCUAUCCAUUAUUUUCUUUUAAAACCUUCACUCUGGAUGUAUAGGAGGUUGGACCUGGUGGUCCAGGAGGAGGAGGCACUUGGGGCGCGGCUACAGAUAAGAAGAGGGUCUACACCAACUCAGCCAACUCACUAUUCAUGAAUUUUACUUUGAUACCAUCCCAAACAAAUACGAAUGCUAGUGGAUGGGUGGCAAUGGAUGCUAAAAGCGGUGAAAUCCUACGGUCGAUAGCGGAUCCGAGUAAUUCCAGAGUUAGUGGUCCUGUCACCAUAGCAAAUGGUGUACUUUUUGCUAGUUCAACAGAUAAACAAGGACCUAUAUAUGCUAUUGAUGCUAAAAAUGGGAGAAUUUUAUGGUCAUAUGAGACUGGUGCAACUGUUUAUGGUGGAAUGUCGGUGAGCAAUGGAUGCAUUUAUGUUGGUAAUGGAUAUAAGGUCAAUAUAGGAGCUUUUAUUUCAACUUAUACUGCCGGAACCUCACUUUUUGCCUUUUGUUUGACCUAAAAGCUUUAUUGGUGUGUAAAAGGUCCUAUUUUAGCCAUAAUUAGUUUGCUUCUCUUUUUAAUUAUAUGAAGAUAGUGAUGUUUAUUCAUGUAAAUUUGGCUUAACUAAUAAAUUACAAUUUAAAUUGUAUCAUUUUCUCAUCUUAGUAUUUAAAUUUUUUUAGAUCAUAAGUGAUACCUAAUUUUUUUCUAAGUUAGUAUCUCCAUUAGUCCAAUUGUUAGUCAAAUCGUUAAGUAUAUUUAAAAAAAAAAUUAACCCAUAAAUUAUUAUCUAAAUUAUACUCUUUUUUCAAGUUGAACUUUUUUUAACACAAGUAGAGGUGUUGAUUGGCGGAGCUAGGCUAGAUUUUGGUCGGGCUUAAGUAUGAUAUUAACACACUUUAUAUUAGGCCAAACUUUGUUCGACUCGAAAUAUGAGCUUAAAAUUUUGCCCAAGUCCACCCAUAUUUGUGAAUGGUUACUCCAAGCUCAUUUUAAGCCUACCCAUAUUAAUUUUUAAUUUAAAAAUAUAUAUUUAUAUUCUUUUUAAUUUAAUAUUUAAUAAAUUUAUAUAUUUUUAUUUAUUAAAAUUUUAUAUAUAGUCAUCUUGACAUUUUUUUAUGCUUAAAUCACAAAUUGGUACCUAAAUUACACUCUUUUUUCCCAUCUCGGUACCUAAACUAUUUUUUGUCAUAAGUGGUACCUAAAUUACUUUUUUGUUUAUCUGAAUUUGGUACCUCAAUUAAACCAUUAAGCCCAUUUUUUUUUAAAUGCUUAACAUAAAAUGGUAUCUAAAGCAUGCAUUUUUCCUAUUUUGGUAACAUUUUUUUGGUUAGAAGUAGCCUAAACUACUUUUUCCCCUAAGUUGGUACUUUUGUUUGUUCAAUGGUUGGUUAAAUUAUUAAGUCUAUUUUUAUAUAAAAAAGAUAACCAAUUAAGAAUAGACAUGGGGUAAAAAAGACAAAGUAUUAUUUUCUCUUAUAUAUAUUCUUUCUUUAGAACAGGACCAAUGAUAGAAUCGUUCAAGUCAUUAGUUCUUAGUUUGAUCAGUUCUUCUAGUUCGAUUGUAUAAAUUAUUAAAAUUUACAAAAAUAAGAAGUUAAAAAAUAAAAAAAAAUAAAGAAAUAUGAUUCAAUUAUUUUUAGCUUGGUUCAACCAACCUGUAUUGGCUUGCAAGUCUAUCAUGUAGCGACGUAAAAAAUUUUAGUUUGGUCGCUAAUUGUGGCAAUCUAGUGAAAAAGUUUAAAAACUGAGGUUCAAUUUUGAGAUAAAAAGGAGUCGCCACCAAUCCCUUUUUUAUAGGUGUGAUCGGACACCUAUUAGAUCUAUAUUAUUUUUUAAAAAAACAAAAGAAGGCUAAGUUUGGGUCUACGUCGAAAUCCAGAGAAAAAGUAGGGCUCGGGAGUCGGUUACGCAUGAGGAAGGUAUUAGCACCCUCACGACGCCCAAAAAUUGGUAUCCCAUAAACAUGUAUUGUCUAGAUUUUCAAAAAUACGAGUUUAAUGUAAUGUUUAGUCGUGAUCUGAUUGAAAAGACGAGAAAUUUUAGUUUUUUCGGGUUUUCAGAAUGACAUACCGUUUUAACACGAGUCAAUGGAGUUUCACCCAACAUAGCGAUGAAAUUCGAUGACUUAAUGUCAAAUCGAUACGUUACCUUAUUUUUUAAAUUAAUUAAAACAUAGGAAAAAAUAUUCCUAAAGUAAGAAUUUAAAAUAAAUCAAUGAUGCAAAUGGUGACAUUAUGAAUGAAAAGUAUUAGCAUGGGAUACUAGAACAUUAGAAUAACAAUAACAAUGACAUUUGCAAAAGAAAUAAAAUUAAAGACAAAUCAUGAACGAAUACAAAAUAUACUUAGUAAUAGUAAUAUAAAAUAAUAAUAUGUAUAUAAGGUAACAUAAAAAAUAUAUGUACAACUAAUAACAUGAGAAAUACAUACAUAAUGUAAAGUUAAAAAUAAUGUGCAUAAGGUAGUUAAAAAAAUAAUAAUAAUAUAUGUAUAUAUUUAUAUGAUAAUAUGUAAAAUGUAAUAUAGCUUGAAAAAUUAUAUAUGACGUAUAAAAAUGUAAUACAAUAUAAAAACAUACACACAUUGAAAAUAUAUAUAUAAUAUAACACUCAAAUAUUUAUAUGAUACAUACAUAUUGGGAAUAAAACCUAUUGAAAUAUUACAUAAAUAUAUACUUAUAUAUACUAGAGAUAUAUACAUAUAUAUAUAAAACAUAUAUUAAGAUUAACAACAAUAGUAAAUAAGAUAAUAAAAAAAUAUGUACAUGAAAUACUACAAUACAAAAAAAAAAGAAUAUACAUAUAUAUACAUAUAAAUAUUAUGGUAUUUAACAACAUAUACAUGAUUUAGUGAAAGAAAUAUAUAUAUAUAUAUAACAAAUAAUAUAAGACAUAUGUAUGAAAUAACACAAAAUAUAUGAGAAUUACGAUAUUUACAAAUAUAUACAUAAUAUAAUUAUUUAAAAAUAAUAUAAUGAAAUAUACGAAAAUAAUACUAUAUACACAUAAAUAUAUACAUAUAUAGUGAAAUAUAUACUAAUAUUGAUGAUAAAUAUAGUAAGAAUAAAAAAAAUCAUAAUAAUAUAUAAUCGAUACGGUAAAAAAUGUAUAUACAUAUGAUAGUAUUUCAGAGUACGUACAUGAGACAAUACAAAAUGUAUACAUGGAAGAUUAUAAGUAAAUAUAACUAAUAAUAUUGAAAAUAUACAUAUGCAUAAUAUAUAUAUAUAACAUGAUAUUUAAAACACAUAUAUAUAAUAUAUAAAAAUUAUAAAUAAUACACUAUAUAAGUAUAUUACAUGCGCAUACAUAUAUAUAAAAUUAUACAUUAAGACAUAUAAUGAGUACAUUUAAUAUAAUAAAUAUAAAUAUUAAAAUUAAUAAAUAACAAAAUAUGAAAACAAAUAAAUCGAAAAUAAAACAGUAAAUUGACAAAGAGGGGCUAAAUCGAAUUAAAGAACAAAGUUUAGGGCGAAUUUUAAAAGAAAUAAAUGGCAAAGGACUAAACUGCACGCGCAAACAAGCCGAAGGGACCAAAAUAGAAAAUAUCCCCUACUACCAAAACGCUGCGCAGCACGGAGGGGUCAAAUUGCAAAGUGAAACAAAUUAUAGUGCCAAAUUGAAAAUGAAAAAAACUUGAUUGUAAAACCCUAGAAAAGUGGAAGGGCUAAAAGCGCAAUUAGCCCUUCCGUUUUAAAAAAACGCGGAUCCUAUCGGAGCGGGUCGGGUCGACCCGACCCGGGGACCAAAACGGUGUCGUUUUAUUAUUAAACGGAGGGGACCAAAACGCCUAUAAAAGUCAAUUUUUUUUUUAAAAUUUCAUUUGUACCGGGGGAAAAGAAAAAAAGGAGAAGAGGGAAGGAGAGAAGAGGGAGAGGGGGAGAGGAACUCGGCCAUGGGCCAGUCACCGGACGGUCACCGGGGCUCGCCGGUGCCAGCGCCGGUAAAAAUUUUAGAUUUUUUUAGUUAUUUUAUUUUAUUUUUUUUAUGCCUUAAAAUAUUGUUUUUUUUAUUUAGUUGUUUAUAAAUGUUUUAAAAAAUAUUCGAAAAUAAAACAAAAAAAUAAACAAUAGGGUAUUCACCUUAGGAUUUAGUCUCUGAUUCUGUGAUCUGGAUUGCUCGGCUGCUUUUUGUUUAUCUAAAUGAUGAGGGAAGAUUGCUAUUGUUAAGGAUUUAGAAUGUUUUCUUAUUUUUUCUUGUUUUCAAAACUGUCGAACCCUUUACAGUGCUUUUUGAAUCGGGUUUUAUAACCCUUUUUACAAACUUUUUCUAUUAUUCUGUCAUGUCUUCUGUCUUGGUCUUUGCAAGGGAUGGGUGAAUGGCGGAGCAGGUGAGCAUGGCAGAUGUGACCGGUGGUGUGGGGGCGCAGAGGGUAGGUGGGGUAGGCUCGACGCCUGUUAGGUUAGGGUUUCAGGAAUUGAAACCCUAAGUCUAAAGUUGGGCUUCUGUUUUGGUUACUUAGGUUUAGGUGGGUUAGUGGGUUUUGUUGUAUUGGGCCUGAUGGCAUAUAAGUGGGACGGUUGGUUUAGUUGGUUAGGUGGUGGGUAAACGGGCUUAAUAGGUUAGUUGGGCUGAGGGUGUAUGGGUUUUGUAAAGGGGUUGAGGGUAAUUUGGGUCUGGGGUUGGGCCCAAAAUUGGCCUGUACAUAUCAAUUCAACCCCUAUCUCCAGUUUGGUUUAGAAAACACUAGUUUUAAUCGAUGAAAUAACUUUUUCGAUAUCUCUUGGUUGAGCAAGCAUAUGAUGAACUAAGCGAUAAAUUUUUUAAUAUCUCCUAGUUGAGCAAUUAUCGAUGUCAAUGGAACUAAGCAAAAUAUUGUCUACUGUAAAAAAAAUGGAUUUGCAUGGGCUCUAAAUCGAGAUAAUGGUGACCUUAUUUGGUCUACUAUAAGUUUUUCUUCAUUGUAUCCUUUUCUAUCCAUCGUUUUCCUUUUAAACCUUCACUUUGGAUGUAUAGGAGGUCGGACCCGGUGGUCUAGGAGGAGGAGGCACUUGGGGCGCGACUACGGAUAAGAAGAGGGCCUACACCAAAUUAGCCAACUCGCUAUUCAAGAAUUUUACUUUGAUAUCGUCCCAAACAAAUAUCACUACUAGUGGAUGGGUGGCAAUGGAUGCUAAAAGCGUUGAAAUCCUCUGGUCAAUAGUGGAUCCGGGCAAUUCUAGAGUUUGUAGUCCUGUCACCAUAGCAAAUGCUGUACUUUUUGUUGGUUCAACAUAUAAACAAGGACCAAUAUAUGCCAUUGAUGCUAAAAAUGGGAGAAUUUUGUGGUCAUAUGAGACUAGUGCAACUGUUUAUGAUGGAAUGUCGGUGAGCAAUGGAUGCAUUUAUGUUGGUAAUGGAUAUAAGGUUAAUGUAAAAGCUUUUGUUCAAACUUAUUCUGAUACCUCACUUUUUGCCUUUUGUGUAACCUAAAAGCUUCAAUAGGUGUGAAGGGCCC
rnacentral:lncRNA from 1 species